rnacentral:piRNA from 1 species
GUGGGAAGCACAGAAACAUUUCCUAGGUGU